rnacentral:rRNA from 1 species
GACGAACGCUGGCGGCGUGCUUAACACAUGCAAGUCGGACGCGCUUGGCCUUUUUUUGGGGUUGGGUGAGUGGCGAACGGGUGAGUAACACGUGGGUGACCUGCCCCUUGCUCUGGGAUAAGCCUGGGAAACUGGGUCUAAUACCGGAUAUGACCCUAUGGCGCAUGUUGUGGGGUGGAAAGCCUUUGCGCGGCUGGGGAUGGGCCCGCGGCCUAUCAGCUUGUUGGUGGGGUGAUGGCCUACCAAGGCGA